GGAGGGGUGUCCGAGUGGCCUAUGGUGUCUGAUUCGAAAUCAGAUGUGCGAAAGCACCGGGGGUUCAAAUCCCUCCCCCUCCGCCC
rnacentral:tRNA from 1 species